GGGGACUUAAGCAGUAUUUUUUUUUUUUUUAAUUGAGGAGCAUGUACCUUGAUUUAUGUCCAAAAUUGUGGCUGAACAUCUUUGUCUGCAAGUGAUAAAUGGUGGCGAACCAUUUAUCAGUUCUUACAAGUAAACACUGCUGUCCCACUAAAAAUAUGUUUUGUUCUGAGUUAAUGGUAUGGAACAAGGCAGCCUCCACAACUCAGCUAUCUUUUAUUGUGGAGGGGCCUCGGAAACUUGGAGCAAAGUGGAGGAAAUUGGCAUUCAUUUUCUUGUCUAAUUCCUGAUUCGGAUGAUGCGGCUGUAGGUGGACGGAGGAUGAGAGGGUAAACCUUCCGUUUCUUUCCUUUCUCUUUAGUUGGGGCUGCUUAUGAAACAGGCCUUCUUCAGAUGCCAGGAUUCUGCUGGGGCACUAAGAAGUCAGGAGUAGUUUCUACGAUGGGGUUGGCCUCCGCUUGGCAACUGCCACGAAGAGCUGAGGUAUAGACAGGCGGGUGUGCUAAGACUGGGUUGCCUUCAGUUUCAUGCCGGCUCUUUGAGGGAAAGUUGUAUCCAUUAUUGGUGGCUCCUAGGAACGUUCUGCCUCCAUGCUUACUUAAUGGUCCCCGGACGUCCUUGCAUUCUAGAACCUUGUUUAAAGGAGCCUUGGUGAUUAAAGAGGCUGUGGAGGAUACAGCCCUUGCUUAGCAGAUGAGCCUGCGUGCAUUUCCCGUUUCCUUAAAAACUGAUUAAUUGAUGCUGCGGGGAGCACACGGUCUGCUAAUAAGAUGAUAAUAACAAAACGGUAUCAGGAAAGGCAUUUAUGGCUUAUAACUGCCGUCUGAUUCCUUCCAAGAGAGACUGCGGCUUUGUAGUGUAGUUUUCUCUUUUAAUAGUGAUAUGCUAAUGCUUUUUAUUCUAAAUCGGCCAACACUGAGUAUCUCCAGGAAAAAUGGAUUCCAUAAGAAGUGGCAUCCUCCUGGAAUUGAAAGGUCUUCUUGAAGGUAAUGCAUUGUAUGAGUGGUUAAUUUCACGAGGAAUAUUGAAUUCCAGGUAUCUGAAGGCACAUAUUCCCCAGGAUGUGACAUUGCCAGCAAAGGUAGACUUCUUACAGAGGCUAAAGCCAGAAAUUGCUGAGGGAAGAAUGGGAGAAGACUGAAUGAGUUGAAGGCAUCAUCACAAAGGUGGGACACACUUUGGGAGAAGGCCUAGGAAUGGAAGAGUAAUGAGUAGAUGAGUGGGCAUCAAGAUGGCUUGCUGGAGAAGAAUAUGGCUGACUAGAGAGGGCGAAGAGACAGGGCAGGGUGAGGUGCCGCUAUGGACUGUGAAGCCAGGAGAGCCCGUGGAGUAGAGUGUCCAUGAAACUUUGACGAUGCAGGAAGUAGAAGUGAUGAGGUCCAGGGAAAAUAGGGACGCAGCCCUAGCAGUUCUGCUGUGUAUGGACCAUAGGCUUGUUCAUGAAAUUUGAAAGCUGAGUAAAGGCAGAUGAAGAGUUUUAAUUUUCAGAAAUCUGAGGACCAGAUCAAAGAGGCCAUAAUAAUUCAGGCAAGUGACUGCCAGAUUCUAGACUGGGUCUGUAGAUGUGAUGUGAAAUAAA
ensembl:lncRNA